rnacentral:rRNA from 1 species
AGAGUUUGAAUCCUGGCUCAGAACGUACGCUGGCGGCACGCCUAACACAUGCAAGUCGAACGCAGUAGCAAUACUGAGUGGCAAACGGGUGAGUAUAAUGUGGGAAUCUGCCUUUUGGUUCGGAAUAACACGAGGAAACUUGUGCUAAUACCGGAUAAGCCUUUACAGGGAAAGUUUUAAUGCCAAAAGAUGAGCCCGCACUUGAUUAGCUAGUUGGUAAGGUAAAAGCUUACCAAGGCAACGAUCAAUAGCUGUUCUUAGAGGAAGACCAGCCACAUUGGGACUGAGACACGGCCCAAACUCCUACGGGAGGCAGCAGUGGGGAAUCUUGCACAAUGGGGGAAACCCUGAUGCAGCGAUGCCGCGUGAGUGAAGAAGGCCUUUGGGUUGUAAAACUCUUUCGUCGGGGAAGAAAAUGACUGUACCCGAAUAAGAAGGUCCGGCUAACUUCGUGCCAGCAGCCGCGGUAAUACGAAGGGACCUAGCGUAGUUCGGAAUUACUGGGCUUAAAGAGUUCGUAGGUGGUUAAAAUAGUUGAUGGUGAAAUCCCAAGGCUCAACCUUGGAACUGCCAUCAAAACUUUUUAGCUAGAGUAUGAUAGAGGAAAGUGGAAUUUC